UCAUUGGGAGGUAAUUGUCACAGAGGGCGGAACCCUCAUGAAUGAGAUUAGAGACACAGGAGACAUAAUCUUUCUUUCUCUUUCCAUCUUGUACGGAUAUGACAAGAAAAUGGCUAUGUGACCCAGGAGGAUAGCCUUCACGAAGAACCUCACCAUGCUGGUACCUUGAUCUUGGAUUUCCAGCCUCCAGACUGUUUCUAAACAUGCAUCUUCACCACCCUGUUUUUUCUCAGUGACACUACCAUGCCAUUCCAGAAACUGCAACAACGUGGGGGCAGCAACCACAUUUUAUCUUCUUUUUAUACAUCUUAAUCAUACUAAGAAGUUAAAGAGUGGAAUUGAAGGCCACAAAAUAAAAAUGAAGUAUUAGAAACAGUCUGAAGCUGAGAAAAUUCUCACCUAAAACGUCUGAUGAUGGUGAUAGAAAACAAAUAUUAUCUGUAGUAAUGACAAGAAGUGAUAGAGCACUAGACAGAAGGCAAGAAAAGUGGAUUCUUGCCUUAGAUAUGCUAACGCUGAAUUGCAAAGUCGUUUCCACUUAACACUUGCCUCAUCUAACUAUCCCUCAUAAAAUGAGGGAAUAAUGACAUGUGAUCUAUACAUUCGCAUGCCUAAAAGGCCAUGAUUCUGGAAGUAAGCUGGACUACUACAUCACAGACAAAUGGACAAAUAACAGAACCAUCACAUUUUUCUACUUUGGUAGCCAUGACUGCCAAGAAAGCCUAUUGACUACAAACCCCUUUAACAAUGAAAGUAAACAAAUAAAAAUUUUCUGAGUUAUGUUAAAUAAAUACAGGUCCAUUCCAUCAUUUCAUUUGAAUAAUAUAUUUUUCGAA
rnacentral:lncRNA from 1 species